CUAAACUUACUGCAUUAGAAGAAAUUCCUGUUGUGAAUUGCCUGUUUCCCUCACCAAGCCCUCAUGAAUCAUCUACGAGACAGCAAUACGGUGCUGCUACCGUGCUGAGCGCAGCAGCUGCCAGGCUGCUCGUGGCGCCUACUACGAGACGAUGCCCAAUGUGAGCAUUCUGCAGCUUUCUUGGGUCACUUCUACCACUUCAGUAGUUCUGCCUUCCAUCUUCCCUGCCUCCAGAUUGAUUCAAAGAAGAUCCGACACUCAAGUCCUGCAAGUUUUCCAUGUACUUUUUUCAUAGCAGGGUCGCCUAUGACAAGACUUGUAAAAGCUUCUGCAAAUGAGGAAGCUGUCAUUCUGUGAUGCAGUCUGCAGAGGAAGAAGCUCACUCGCCACUUUUGGUGCUUGGCUCCGCCACUGAGGAUUCAACAUCUCACAGCUUCGAUUCCUGCGAAGCACUCUCAAAAUAUUUGUCACAGACUGCGAUUGCUUGAAAUCUACGGGAGCGUCACAAGCUGUGUGAGACAGCAUGCCAGCAUGCUUGUGAAAAAUCCCUUCUGGAUGCUUGUCACUCCUCUGCUUAGCAUUUACCUUUGGCACGUCCUUGACCUUGCAUUUACCCCCAUGGCACUUACUUCCUUGCUCAGCUGCAGACCUCGUUGGUUGGCUCUGACGCUGCUGCACAAGACGCAAUCUGGCAGCAAGACAGUAACCCCACUGAGGAAAAGAUGUGCUGAUUUCAUCUGACAUUGGCACAUGAAUUCGCUUAAAAUAUCAAAGACAGAAUCCAUUGACGUAGAUGUUUUUGAAGGCCCGUUUGCACGACUUCAGAGAAGUUUGCCAGAUAGAUGUUUUUCUUUGACCACUGUAGGAAAAUUCUGUUUGAUCAUGAAGGAGUCACUGCUAUCCAUGCUGCAACAUUGGGGUUUGGGAUUAAGGGUUGUGAAAUCAGUGUGCCAGUGCUCCACAGCCGAUGUUUUGCAAGCCACCCAUCUUGCUGCUGAACUGCUCUGGCCGCUGCUUCCACAGCACCGGUGACUGCUGAGUCUCCUUUCUUACCCGCGGCCAGUUCAUGCUGAAAGCCAAAGUGUGGAUGAGGUGAUCUGGGCAGCUCCUCCUGAAGGGACUUUUUGGACUUUCCUCUGGGCUGCGUCAGGCUGCAGAGUAUUUUCCUGUACCUACAGUAACAAGAUUUGAGGGUAUACAUUCUAAUGCAAACCCCCUGGUGCUGCCAAACUGCAGUAGGAUGGAGAUACAUUCCUGAAGAUCUGUCAGAAGAAUGAAUGAACAAAAAAUGUGAAGUGUUUUGGUGGGUCAGAAAUAUUGGACAAUCACUGGAAACUACAAUCUGUGACAAUCAGUCAGCUGCUACAAAAUUCACUGUGCUCCCGCAGUUAUCCCCAGAGCCACCUUUCCAUCCUUCACAGAGACCUCCAUAGGAUGACUGAACAUCGCCUUCACUUUCUCCAGCUUCCAAGUGAUCAGCGCUGGUUAAAAUCAGUGCAUUGGAGGGAUCUGAUUGAAGCAGGAGCCAACACUGUAAGAUAACAUGGGUGACAUUUGAGGAACAUGGUUUAAUAGACAUGGGUGACGGGUUGAUGACUGGAAUAGAUGGUCUCAGUGGUCUUAACCCAACCUGAAUAAUUCUAUGAUAAGAAGUAUAAAGAGGUAUGUUGCCCAUCAUUCAGUCUCCAAGGAGAUAAACCCAGAUGAACCCAGUCAUCUCCCGGCCUGGGGCUGCUGCCUCUGGAGAGGAUGAAUCCAUUCCAUGCUUUUUGGUGGGCUGAGGCACAAAACCUACCUGGAGCGGGGAACACGUGGUGAGUGGAUUGCCUGCUGCUGUGCUGUGCUGGGCUUCAGGUCUCAAGGAGGCUUCACACCAUAGGUGCUCCACUGCUUAUAGGGACACUGAGGAGGAAGGGUCUAUGUAAGGUCAGACUGUUGUCUGUUUUUGCACUCCUGAUUUAGUCUGAAUAUGAAGAAACCCAAACUCAUUAGAUUCACAUGAUGGAGCGGCAAAGAAAGUGCUUAUUUAUGGAGGUUAAGGAGAAUCCAGAGAUAUGCAGAUUGCUGUUAUCUGCCUGAAUAGUGCCUCCUGACAUCACGAGGGGCUGAAAAGACUUGUUGAGGAGCAGUGGUGACGGCAGCUCCGACUGGCUCUGCUGAAGCCUUAACACAGCACUUCCAGCAUCCAGAACUGCCUUUCUUGUCUUCUGUUACAGGGGUCUGCUGUCUUAAAUUGCAGUAAGUUUCAUGCUUACACAGAGAGAAGACUGCUGUUGGGUUUUGUGAGAAAAGUGUGUUUCUUGUUAGUUUUUGGAGUGGAUUUUCAGCAUACCACAGAGGUUUUACGAAGAGUAAGAUUAUGAGUGUAAGUAAUAGAGAAACAAAAAGUUGUGAGAAAGGUUUCACUGAAAAAAAAAUAUAUAUAUAUAGGAAGAUAUCGACUGACAGGAAAACACAUUUGGCAGAUGUAGAAAAACAACAAUCUGUCCUGCUUUUCUGCACCAGAUUUCAAAUGUACGUUGCCAUUUUGCAACCAAACCGUACAAGGCUCAAGUUGUUAACAAACCCACGUAUGUUAAGGAAUUACGUAUAAUUUGUUUUUCUUUUGACUCCCAAGUCCGUGUUUGGAUGUGUAUCUAAGCCCUCAGGAGCCAUCAUCUCUCCUGAGCGCUCCUAGGCAAAGUACGAGCAAAGGGUGCUAUGGGGCCUUGGCAUUUUGUUCUGUGGGUCAUGGGAGAGCAGCUGUCUGCCUUGCCCUCACCUUGCCCAGAGGCCCUGGCUUCCUCCUCUUUUCCUCAGAGGUGGAGGCUGACCCUUGGCUUUGCUGAGAGCACAGUGGGUAAGCUCAGAGGCUAUGGAAAUGCAGUUGCUUCCAUCUGAUCCUAGAGGAGGUUCAGUCUUCUGGGCUUGGCAAAUGCAAAAUUGAAACUGCUGGUGGCUCUUCUUACCUGCUUCUAUGCUGCUACAAAGCAUGCUUCUGUGCUUAGGAAGAUCAUAGGCUGGCACCUAGCUGGUUUGAAACCAGCUUCCUCACAGAGCAGGACUGUGUUUAAGCCUGUUAAUGUACACGGUCCCAGCAGACAAGCAUUAUUUAUACCCAUUUUACAGAGAGGUAAACAGAAGCACAGAGCUACCAGGUUUGGCAGCAGGAGAACACAGCUGGGUUGUCUUCUUUCUGGUGCAGCCCCUUGGCCUCGCAGCAUUUCUGAUACGGCCCUACCAUAAGCAUAUCCCUGCGUGGGAUGUACCUUACCUACUGAGCAUCCUGUCCCGACACCGCCUUCUUUAAUGCCUUACUUACCAGCAGAGUAGGAAUAUAUACAUAUAUGUCAAAACACCGCCUUACUAUUAUUGCCUAACCACGUCUCCAUCUAUAUAAAUCUAGAGCAGAAUGUAUAUAACGAUACCAUGCAUAUGUGUAGUGUGUGCAUAAUGCCCUCAUUUGUAUGCAAAUGCGUUUUUAUGCAGAUAUAAAUAUGCUUUUCAAGCACGAAUUGAAACAACGGCAAAAUAUGUUUGUUUGUAAAAGUGAGCUUUCCUUGUGCCACCGCCUCUGUGCCCAUCUUGGGUGUCCGUGAUUCUUCUUGGUGAUGACAGGUAGCUAUCACUGCUCUGGGGAAACAAAGGGGAAGGAGAUGAGGCAGUUCAAUGGUUCUGGCUGUCAAGCACCGCGUUGUGCUGCGCCAUGAAUUUUCCCUCGCGCAGGUUCAAGAGAAACCACUGAAUUACACCGUAACUGUCAAACAUCCUGUUUUUAGUUUGUUGCUCAAACACAAUCCAAUUAUUUAAUAUACAAAAGCUAUCAGACGGAGCCAGUCAGUUUUUCCUCAAGCGAUACAGAAAGGAAAACAACCACCGAGAAAGGCACCUGAAAGCGCCGAGCCGCUGACUGGAGGAUGUGGGAGAAUAUUGUAAUGGAUCGUAUUUACGACAAAACAGAAACCCAACACCCUGGAAAACAUACGUGCUGCUCGAACUGUGUUUACUUCCAGGCACAUUGGCCUUUGCAUAGGGGUGGGUCGGGUGAUUCAGCUGAAUCUGAAACCUGAUAAACUCUUGCCUUCUGUUUUUACAUCACGCUCGGUGCUUGCACAUGACACAGUGGAAGCAGAUAGAGCUGCUCAGGCGCUACCUUUGGUAUUUAUUGUAUUGAUCCCAGUGAGGAUCACUUCUUGGGCACGCUGCACUUCAGUCUUUCACCUCGGCGUGUGCACAUGUGGGUGUGAGCUGGGGCAUGGUGAAAUGCUGGGGCUCAGCCUGGACAGGUUACCUAAGAUAAGGGGCUGUGCUAUGGAUUUCCUUUGGCUCACUUUCCUCUUCUGCUUGGGGAGUGUGGUGGCAACCUGUGGGUCCCAAUGAUUGUCCCUCUCUACUCUGCCCUCAUGAGUCCCCAUCUGGAGUACCGUGUUCAGGUGUGGGUCCCCAGUACAAGAAAGACAGGAAGCUGUUGGAGAGGGUCCAGAGGAGGGCCACAGAGAUGAUCAGAGGGCUGGAGCACCUCCCCUACAAAGACAGACUGAGGGAGCUGGGUUUAUUCAGCCUGGAGAAGAGAAGGCUGUGGGGUGACCUCAUUGCAGCCUUCCAGUACCCAAAGGGAACCUAUAAACAGGAGGGGAGCCAAUUCUUUGAAAGGGUAAAUAAUAGCAGGACAAGGGGAAAUGGUUUUAAGUUGAGGAAGGGAAGAUUCAGGUUGCAUAUGAGGGGGAAGUUCUUUACUAUGAGAGUGGUGAGGUGCUGGCACAGGCUGCCCAGAGAGGCUGUGGAUGCCCCAUCCCUGGAGGUGUUCAAGGCCAGGUUGGAUGGGACCCUUAGCAGCCUGAUCUAGUAUUAAAUGUGGAGGUUGGUGGCCCUGCCUGGCAGUGGGGUUGGAGCUUCAUGAUCCUUGAGGUCCCUUCCAACCCAAGCGAUUCUAUGAUUCUAUGGUUCUAUAACUCUAUGUGUGUUUCACUGGGACCUACUCAGGGAAUAUGAUUUUGUCCAACUCUUUUAACCACGUUUGGUGGGAAUCUGAGCCACAUUAAACAUAGCAGCCAAUAACAGCAUGUUAUUAUUUCUUUUCUUCAUCAGGAAAAACAUCCAAGUACUUCCAUCUUAGACAAAAAAAAUAUAUGUAUAUUAAAUUCUGAUUCUUUCAAAUAACACAAUUCAAAAGUAUAGGUAGCUAGUGAUAGGAUGAGAGGUAAUGGCCUCAAUUUGUGCCAAGGGAGGUUCACGCUGGAUGUUAGGAAACAUUUCUUCUCAGCAAGAGCGGUGAGGUAUUGGCACAGGCUGCCCAGAGAGGUGAUGGAGUCACCAUCCCUGGAGGUGUUCAAGAGCAGUGUGAAUGUGGUACUGAGGGACAUGGUUAGUGGGCAUGGUGACAUGGGCUGAUGGUUGGACGAGAUGGUCUUAGAGGUCUUUUCCAACCUUCAUGAUUCUAUGCUUCUAUUGUUUCCAUGAAAUCUUGCUCUUAAAUUGUAGUUGUUCACAUUUUUACGGAUGAUGGGAGCAAAAGAGGUAUGAGCACUAUCACAGCAAAUGGUGCAAAAAGACACACUCAGUAUUUGUACCAGAUAUUUUUGAUAAAAAUGUGACCAUUGGAGGGGGGGCUAUAUCCUUUUAAUAUGUAUUUAACUGUUACUUAUGACAUUUCUUUGAUGCCAGAGUGGUCCAACCACAGCAGCUGUUGUCUGCACCUAGAUUUUGGGAGCCCACCCCCUGCAGUCCCCAUGCAGGUCUUGGCUUGGUGAGCCCAGCACUCCCUUCACCUCUCCUUGCUGGCUCACUUUUACCCUCCGUCCUGCCACCAAGAGUGGUACCACACGGGGAUGUUGGGGUGGGGGUAGCCAUGGGCAGCUCCUGCUGACCAGCUCUUCCAGCUGUACAUGGCAGGAGGUGGAGCAGAGACCAGGUAGCUUCAAACCCCAGCCAGCAGGUACCCUGGAAGCUAUGUAGGUUGCUCUGAAAGUAACGCCUCUUAUUUAUUUCCAUGGGAACUACAACAGAUACAAUGAGCACAAUAACAUUGUUUAAUAGAGCAAAUUCUCAGCUACAAAACUGUUUUUUCAACAUAGUCACCACUGUUAGCCAUGCAUUUUUACCAGUGAUGAAUAAAAGACUACUGCUGUUGAACUGAGGAAUGCUGCAGCCCCGCUGUGCCAUAUGGGGACAGAGCUGUCUUGUCCCACACAUUGCUCCUUGGGAUCAGCAUGCUCCUGCCUGUUGUUUCUGGCUGGCACUGGGCUACCAGACACUGAUGGAGCACUGAAAGUCCCGGGGAUGGCAUGGCGGGGGAAUUGGUGGCUAAACAUUUCCUAUGUGCUAUCAAAUGUGCUGUAAAGUCAGACCCUGGUGAGACAGGAGGGAAGAAAAUGGGGGUGCUGAGCUCCCCCAGCCUUUGUUUGCAGUCAUCUUCCUCCCAGCACAACAGCUUCUGUCGCACCUGGCACAAAACUGAUCCUUCAUCGUGGCUUACUGCUGUGUUACACGUGUGUUCACUCACCGUGCACACACACAGCAAAAGGAACGCUGCACAGAACAGGAUUGCCUGCAACUUCAUGUAAUCCCCUGCUGAAUGUGAUCAAAACCUCAGAAAGUGAUUUAGACAUACAGUAGUAAAAAGGCAGCGCAGAACCUUUAUUUUGGCUGUCUCAAACCCAGCGUAUGAAUAAGAGGCUCUGCUUUUUUUUCCACUGAUGAUAAAAGGCAAUCUCCUAGUCUUUCAUUUGGAAAAACACACGUGGAUGCAAACGAUGAGGGGAGAAACUGCAUUGUAGAGGAGUAGAAAAUGGGAGCAGGAGUAGGAGGAGAGAAAUGGAAAGGUGGAGUGUGGGAGGAGGGCUGUGGGAGUAGAGAAUGAAUUGUGGAGCAUCCAUCAGCAUUUAGGCAUUGUGGGAGAUGAGAUAAACUUAACGCUGUCAUUCAUACAUGGGGUAACAUGUCUUGCACGGAGCCAGCAGCGUGCUGAGCUGUUUGGGAAGGAGUAACUCUGCUCCAGCAGCUGAAUGGAACGUUGUUUUUUGUGGCAGCAUCUCCCGAGGGCUCUCGGUGGUGUUUGGGCACACGGAACCCCAGAGAUGCCCACCUGCAGAAUGUGGCUGUGUGCUGCACGACCACACGGGCCGGGCUGGGGAUGUGCUGCUGCUGACCGGGAGUCCUCUGGGCUGCAGCCCUCGUCCUGAUUGGCACAGCUCAUAUGGAAGGAAAUAUGUGUGUAACAACAGAGGUCUGGUGAGAACAGAAAUGUUAUGAAAAAAAAAUUAAAGCAGUGAACACUGGAAAU
ensembl:lncRNA